rnacentral:rRNA from 1 species
GACAGAGGUCUCUAGCGUUAGGCGGAAUCACUGGGCUUAAAGCGUGUGUAGGCGGAUGCCUAAGUACCUUGUGAAAUCCCACGGCUUAACCGUGGAACUGCUUGGUAUACUGGGUGUCUUGAGCCAGCUAGGGGCGACCGGAACAAACGGUGGAGCGGUGAAAUGCGUAGAUAUCGUUUGGAACGCCAAUGGUGAAAACAGGUCGCUGGGGGCUGUGCUGACGCUGAGACACGAAAAGCCAGGGGGAGCAAACGGGG